GCUAAUACCGCAUAGAUCCAAGAACCGCAUGGUUCUUGGCUGAAAGAUGGCGUAAGCUAUCGCUUUUGGAUGGACCCGCGGCGUAUAAGCUAGUUGGUGAGGUAACGGCUCACCAAGGCGAUGAUACGUAGCCGAACUGAGAGGUUGAUCGGCCGCAUUGGGACUGAGACACGGCCCAAACUACUACGGGAGGCAGCAGUAGGGAAUCUUCCACAAUGGACGCAAGUCUGAUGGAGCAACGCCGCGUGAGUGAAGAAGGCUUUCGGGUCGUAAAACUCUGUUGUUGGAGAAGAAUGGUCGGCAGAGUAACUGUUGUCGGCGUGACGGUAUCCAACCAGAAAGCCACGGCUAACUACGUGCCAGCAGCCGCGGUAAUACGUAGGUGGCAAGCGUUAUCCGGAUUUAUUGGGCGUAAAGCGAGCGCAGGCGGUUUUUUAAGUCUGAUGUGAAAGCCCUCGGCUUAACCGAGGAAGCGCAUCGGAAACUGGGAAACUUGAGUGCAGAAGAGGACAGUGGAACUCCAUGUGUAGCGGUGAAAUGCGUAGAUAUAUGGAAGAACACCAGUGGCGAAGGCGGCUGUCUGGUCUGUAACUGACGCUGAGGCUCGAAAGCAUGGGUAGCGAACAGGAUUAGAUACCCUGGUAGUCCAUGCCGUAAACGAUGAAUGCUAGGUGUUGGAGGGUUUCCGCCCUUCAGUGCCGCAGCUAACGCAUUAAGCAUU
rnacentral:rRNA from 1 species